UGUGUAGGCGGAAGCGUAAGCGUCUUGUGAAAUCCCUCGGCUUAACCGAGGAAUUGCUUGACGAACUGCCCUUCUUGAGGCAGGUAGGGGUGCGCAGAACUCUUGGUGGAGCGGUGGAAUGCGUAGAUAUCAAGAGGAAUGCCGGUGGAGAAGUUGGUGCACUGGGCCUGACCUGACGCUGAGACACGAAAGCGUGGGGAGCGAACAGGAUUAGAUACCCUGGUAGUCC
rnacentral:rRNA from 1 species